UACGUAGGGUGCGAGCGUUGUCCGGAAUUACUGGGCGUAAAGAGCUCGUAGGUGGUUUGUCGCGUUGUCCGUGAAAACUCACAGCUUAACUGUGGGCGUGCGGGCGAUACGGGCAGACUGGAGUACUGCAGGGGAGACUGGAAUUCCUGGUGUAGCGGUGGAAUGCGCAGAUAUCAGGAGGAACACCGGUGGCGAAGGCGGUUCUCUGGGCAUGUUCUGACGCUGAGGAGCGAAAGCCAGGGGAGCGAACGGG
rnacentral:rRNA from 1 species